CCGGCCAUUUGAAUCAUAAUCUGUUAGGGGGAUUACUCCCUGUACCUCCCCAAUUCUAACCCCCACCCCCCAUUCCAUUUUUAAGAUUUGUUUUAUUAGUUUACUUUUUAUAUUAAUUUUUAGAUAUUUUAAUAAUGGAAUUUAUAUAUUUUGAUGUAUUAUUUUUAAAUAUAUUUUUAACGUAUAAAUGGGAGAGUGAGAGUUGUAGAGAGCGUUUGGAGGAGGAGCGUUUCAAAAGCUUUGGUGGGGGUGGGGGUGGGAAUACGAAGGAGAGGAAUUUGAGUUUGUGUGUUUUGACUGAGGCAGACUGUAAAAGAGUAGGUUAACUUUAGUAAAUAGGUGUAAAACGGUAAAAAUAAAAAAAACAUAAAAACUAAUUUUGUAUUUAAAAAAAAAUCCAAAAAAAUUGGGGGGGGUGGGGGUUGAAAUUAGAGAGGUACAGGGAGUAACUCCCAUCUGUUAGGAUAGAAGAAGCCCAGUUAUCUUCAUGUCAUCUUUGCCCCGACCGUGCCUUAGUGGAAGCAUACUUUUGCACACUUCAACUAUUUCUCUUUAAACUUCAGUUUACUUAGGAGAUUAAUCUUUUUCCAAAAUGAGAACAGUGAUUCAUUGUGGUAAAACCAAAAGAUGCAUAUAUUAACAAUUUUUUUUAACAACUUUUUAC
rnacentral:lncRNA from 1 species